CAACUUCCACCUGGCUUACCUCCNUCAUUUAUGCGUCAUGACUUGUAUCGUCUUGAGCGUAUUGUGGGUUUCCUGUGUUGCAUACCUUUCUAAUGGUAKCGUUUUGAUUGAUCGAAGUCCCUUUUCAUCUUGUGUUGCUUUUUGCGACGCAUGAUGAACCUCUAGGCGGUCUCUAUGUUCCACUACGUUGAUGCUACUGUUUCGAUGUUGUGGCCCAUUGAGYGUUGCUUGGUUUUGUGGAUACAGAACAUGAUUUGGGCAUAGGGUUACUUGUGACUCUUGUUCUGUCCUUUAUCAGUGUUCUUUAUAACGACGGUUCAUGCGCGCCUAGGCUCGUACCUGCGCGAUGUUCUUUGUCGAAGAGGAAUGCUACCUGGUUGAUCCUGCCAGUAGUCAUAUGCUUGUCUCAAAGAUUAAGCCAUGCAUGUGUAAGUA
rnacentral:misc_RNA from 1 species